AAUGCUGAUCGGAUCAUCGCGCCUGUUUUUGCAGGUGAGGAAAGUCCGAACUCCAUAGGGCAUCAUGCUUCCUAACGGGAAGGCGCCGUGCAAGCGGUGACGGCACGUGCAACAGAAAGUAAACCAGCCUAAGGGUUUUCGAACCCCGGUGAUGGGUGAAAUGGUGAGGUAAGAGCUCACCAGCGACGCAGGUGACUGGGUCGGCUAGGCAAACCCCAUGAGGAGCAAGGUCAAGCAGCAUUGCUUGCCGCUAGUCGGCAAAUGGAUCGCCCUUCCACAUCUUCGGAUGGCAAUGCGGGUAGACUGCUCGAGGCUGACGGUGACGUCAGUCCUAGAUAAAUGAUGAUCUCAUUUGUGGAUGUGCGGUCCUCCACAAGUCAGACAGAAUUCGGCUUAUAGAUCAGCACUGACC
rnacentral:RNase_P_RNA from 1 species